UUACGGUCAUAUCGUUUUGAAACACCGGUUCCCGUACGAUCAUCGAAGUUAAGCAACGUCGAGCUUGGUCACUACCUAGAUGAGUGACCACUUGGGAAUACCAGGUGCUGUAA